rnacentral:rRNA from 1 species
CCUACGGGUGGCAGCAGUGAGGAAUAUUGGUCAAUGGACGCAAGUCUGAACCAGCAAUGCCGCGUGCAGGAAGACGGCUCUAUGAUUUGUAAACUGCUUUUUUACGGGGGUAAAUGCCGAUACGCGUCUCUUUCUCAAAGUAUCAUACGAAUCAGGAUCGGCUAACUCGGUGCCAGCUGCCGCGGUUAUACGGAGGAUUAAAGCGUUAUCCGGAUUUAUUGGGGUUAAUGGGUGCGUGGGGGGAAUCUAAAGUUAUCGGGAAAAAUUCGGGGCUCAACACAGUCGUGCAGUUGAAACUGAUGUUCUUGAGUGGGCGAGAAGUAGGCGGAAUGCGUGGUGUAGCGGUGAAAUGCAUAGAUAUCAAGAAGAACACCGAUUGCGAAGGCAGCAUACCGGCGCACAACUGACGCUGAAGCACGAAAGCGUGGGUAUCGAACAGGAUUAGAUACCCUAGUAGUC